UCGGAACCGGUUGAGGUGAAACGUUUACCGGCCGGCCUGUCACGCCGGAGGUCGCGGGUUCGAGCCCCGUCACUCGCGCCA
rnacentral:tRNA from 1 species